CAUUACAACUGUAGCUUCAGAGUCUUCAUUCAGCAUAGGAAGUCGGGUUUUAAACAAGUAUCGGAGUUGUCUUCUUCCUUCUACAGUUCAAGCUUUGAUAUGUGCGAGGAAUUGGCUAUGCAACUUUGAAGAGAUUGGUGAUAAUAUUGAGUUCCUUAAUAAAGACAAAGAUGGCGAGAGAGAAGAAGAAGAAGUUUAAAUUUGCUUUUAAUUUGUUUUUGGAUUUGAUACUUUGUUAAAUACUUGAAUUGUGUUUAAAUUUGCUUUUGGAUUUAAUACUUAAAUUAUUUAAUACU
rnacentral:misc_RNA from 1 species